rnacentral:lncRNA from 1 species
GGGAAAAGGUCUUACUGGAUCGGCCUCACCAAAGUGGAGAAAGAAGGCACCUGGCGCUGGGUGGACGGCACCAAGUACAGCGAAAACGCGAGUUUCUGGGCGCCAGGGCAGCCGGACAACACGGACUACGGRCCAAGCGGCAGAGAAGAGUGCGCUCAGAUACACCCCGUGGGAAACGGCCUCUGGAAUGACCAUAACUGCAACGUCUCCUUCUUGUGGAUCUGCAAGAGGCACUUGGACACGGCUGGGCUGUGACGGGGAGGGUCCCACCUGGGAAUACCAUGCCGAGCAUGCCAAGAACUUGCUCUCAGCGAARGGCCGCUGUUUCCUAAGGAACACAGCUCCGGUUGGAGUCCUCCGGCUGCAGGUGGACGCAGUCCUCCUCCGGCGCUGUCCCGUCAUCCCAGUUGUCCGGCUGCCCUGGCGCCCAGAAACUGCCGGGGCAGGAGACUGGUCACCGCUCGGAGGAGGCUGCCCGGGCCUCCAGCGUCGCGUCGCCACCGGCCCGGCCGAGGAAMGGGAGACGCCGCCGCGGAGCGCCGCGACCGCCCCGUCGUGGCUCCGGGCCGGGGCAGAGCCGGGCGCUGCCCCGCAGCUCCGCUCACCUCGCGUUUUCGCUGUACUUGGUGCCGUCCACCCAGC